rnacentral:rRNA from 1 species
UCAUUGGGUUUAAAGGGUCCGUAGGCGGGCCUGUAAGUCAGGGGUGAAAGUUUGUGGCUCAACCAUAAAAUUGCCUUUGAUACUGCAGGUCUUGAGUCAUGGUGGGGUCGCCGGAACAUGUGGUGUAGCGGUGAAAUGCAUAGAUAUCACAUAGAACACCGAUCGCGAAGGCAGGUGGCCAACCAUGUACUGACGCUGAUGGACGAAAGCGUGGGUAGCGAACGGGAUUAGAUACCCCGGUAGUCCACGCCGUAAACGAUGGAUACUAGCUGUGGGGACUUCGGUCUCCGUGGCCAAGCGAAAGUGAUAAGUAUCCCACCUGGGGAGUACGUUCGCAAGAAUGAAGCUCAAAGGAAUUGACGGGGGCCCGCACAAGCGGUGGAGCAUGUGGUUUAAUUCGAUGAUACGCGAGGAACCUUACCAGGGCUUAAAUGCAGGCUGCAUGGGGUAGAGAUACCCCUUUCUUCGGACCGCCUGCAAGGUGCUGCAUGGUUGUCGUCAGCUCGUGCCGUGAGGUGUCAGGUUAAGUCCUAUAACGAGCGCAACCCCUACCGUUAGUUGCCAGCAUGUCAAGAUGGGGACUCUAACGGGACUGCCGGUGCAAACCGUGAGGAAGGUGGGGACGACGUCAAAUCAUCACGGCCCUUACGUCCUGGGCUACACACGUGCUACAAUGGCCGGUACAGAGGGAAGCCACCCCGCAAGGGGGCGCGGAUCUACAAAACCGGUCACAGUUCGGAUCGGGGUCUGCAACUCGACCCCGUGAAGCUGGAAUCGCUAGUAAUCGGAUAUCAGCCAUGAUCCGGUGAAUACGUUCCCGGGCCUUGUACACACCGCCCGUCAAGCCAUGGAAGCCGGGAGUGCCUGAAGUCCGUCACCGCAAGGAGCGGCCUAGGGCAAAAUCGGUAACUAGGGCUAAGUCGUA